AGCCCGAUAGUCUAGCGGUCAAAUAAAAAAAUUUUAGAUCAAGGAUUCUGCCCUCUGGAUCUCAAGAGUGGAUAGGCGGAGACGGCAGUUCGAAUCUGCCUCGGGCUA
rnacentral:tRNA from 1 species